AGUGGCGAACGGGUGAGUAACACGUGAGCAAUCUGCCCUGGACUCUGGGAUAAGCGUUGGAAACGACGUUUAAUACCGGAUACGCGACGCGAAGGCAUCUUCAGCGUCGGGAAAGAACUUCGGUCCAGGAUGAGCUCGCGGCCUAUCAGCUAGUUGGUGAGGUAACGGCCCACCAAGGCGACGACGGGUAGCCGGCCUGAGAGGGUGACCGGCCACACUGGGACUGAGACACGGCCCAGACUCCUACGGGAGGCAGCAGUGGGGAAUAUUGCACAAUGGGCGCAAGCCUGAUGCAGCAACGCCGCGUGAGGGACGACGGCCUUCGGGUUGUAAACCUCUUUUAGUAGGGAAGAAGCGAAAGUGACGGUACCUGCAGAAAAAGCACCGGCUAACUACGUGCCAGCAGCCGCGGUAAUACGUAGGGUGCAAGCGUUAUCCGGAAUUAUUGGGCGUAAAGAGCUCGUAGGCGGUUUGUCGCGUCUGCUGUGAAAACUGGAGGCUCAACCUCCAGCCUGCAGUGGGUACGGGCAAACUAGAGUGCGGUAGGGGAGAUUGGAAUUCCUGGUGUAGCGGUGGAAUGCGCAGAUAUCAGGAGGAACACCGAUGGCGAAGGCAGAUCUCUGGGCCGUAACUGACGCUGAGGAGCGAAAGCAUGGGGAGCGAACAGGAUUAGAUACCCUGGUAGUCCAUGCCGUAAACGUUGGGCGCUAGAUGUGGGGACCAUUCCACGGUUUCCGUGUCGCAGCUAACGCAUUAAGCGCCCCGCCUGGGGAGUACGGCCGCAAGGCUAAAACUCAAAGGAAUUGACGGGGGCCCGCACAAGCGGCGGAGCAUGCGGAUUAAUUCGAUGCAACGCGAAGAACCUUACCAAGGCUUGACAUAUACCUGAAAAGGCUGGAAACAGUCUCCCCGCAAGGCAGGUAUACAGGUGGUGCAUGGUUGUCGUCAGCUCGUGUCGUGAGAUGUUGGGUUAAGUCCCGCAACGAGCGCAACCCUCGUUCUAUGUUGCCA
rnacentral:rRNA from 1 species